CGUCGACUCCGCCUACGUUCCGGUCCCCACCGAAGCCGACGUCGCCGUCGAGGGAGAGGCCGAGAAGACCCCUUACGUCGCGUCCGCCACGAAGCUCACCGACGGCACCUUCGACGGCGCCGUGGACUCCGUCUAUCCCAAGGUUCCCACGGAAGCCGACGUCCCCGACGAAAACGCCAAGGGCCCUUACGUCGCGGCGUCCACCAAGUUCAGCGACGGCACCUUCGACGGACCCGAUCAGUUUGACCCCACCGGCGUCUACCCCACCGGCGGCUACGAAAAGUCUCCGGAGGAGAUCGAGACCGAGGCAGCACGCGUCGAGGCGCGCGCGUCCGAGGCUGGCGCCUACAAGAAGGCGUACGCCGCCGCGGCGAUUGAGGAGGAGGCUGUCGGCGACGAGCACACCGACGUCGCCGAGGAGGACACCGGCUACCGCGGCGGCUACGUCGCCGCGUCCACGAAGCUCACCGACGGCACCUACUCCGCCGCGCUGGGCAAGCACCACAAGUACACGGCCGCCCCCACCGUCAACCCCUACGGAGUCAAGGAUGCCGAGGAGUCCGCCGCCGCCGACGCCGAAGAGGCGCAAGAAGCGGAUGAUGAGCUCGAGUCCGAGGCU
rnacentral:lncRNA from 1 species